GGACCCGCACAAGUAGUGGAGCAUGUGGUUUAAUUCGAAGAUACGCGCAGAACCUUACCAACACUUGACAUGUUCGUCGCGACUCUAAGAGAUUAGAGUUUUCGGUUCGGCCGGACGAAACACAGGUGCUGCAUGGCUGUCGUCAGCUCGUGUCGUGAGAUGUUGGGUUAAGUCCCGCAACGAGCGCAACCCUCACUUUUAGUUGCCAUCAUUUAGUUGGGCACUCUGAAAGAACUGCCAGUGAUAAGCUGGAGGAAGGUGGGGAUGACGUCAAGUCCUCAUGGCCCUUACGUGUUGGGCUACACACGUGCUACAAUGGUAUCUACAAAAGGAAGCAAGACCGCGAGGUCAAGCAAAUCCUUAAAAGAUACCUCAGUUCGGAUUGCACUCUGCAACUCGAGUGCAUGAAGCUGGAAUUACUAGUAAUCG
rnacentral:rRNA from 1 species